rnacentral:rRNA from 1 species
AGACCCUAUAGAUCUUUAAUUUUUUAUUAUUUAUUUUUAUUUAGAAUAUUUUAAGGAUAUUAUAUAAUAAAUUUUUGUUGGGGUGACAUUGAGAUAUAAUUAACUCUUAAUAUUUUAUUACAAUUAUUUUUGUAUAUUUGAUCCUAUAUUAUGGUUUAUAAGAUAUAGAUACCUUAGGGAUAACAGCGUAAUCUUUUUUGAGAGUUCUUAUCGACGGAAAGGAUUGCGACCUCGAUGUUGGAUUAAGAUUAUAUUUAGGUGUAGGUGCUUGAAUAAUAGGUCUGUUCGACCUUUAAAUUCUUACAUGAUCUGAGUU